rnacentral:rRNA from 1 species
UACGUAGGGGGCAAGCGAUAUCCGGAUUUACUGGGUGUAAAGGGAGCGUAGACGGCAGUGCAAGUCUGGAGUGAAAGGCGGGGGCUCAACCCCCGGACUGCUCUGAAAACUGUACGGCUGGAGUGCAGGAGAGGUAAGUGGAAUUCCUAGUGUAGCGGUGAAAUGCGUAGAUAUUAGGAGGAACACCAGUGGCGAAGGCGGCUUACUGGACUGUAACUGACGUUGAGGCUCGAAAGCGUGGGGAGCAAACAGG